rnacentral:lncRNA from 1 species
CCGAGCUGUGUGUCACCAACAGAUGGAUUGUGUCUGUACAAAUCUCACUCUGUAAAUAUACAAUAUAACCUCUGAGCUAAGAUUACAGUGUUUAAUGUGUUGACUGUGUCAGAAGGUAGUACAAAGGAUAAGGACAAGAAGUUGAUGAAGUGGCAUCCUCAUUGACAGUGAUAGAGACUCUGUUUUUGGAACCCUUUCAAAAGUCUUUCUAUUCAGGACCUGAGCCCUAGGACCAUGCCUCAGGACUACCUGGCCUGAUGACUCCUUGCUCUACCCAGUCCACCUGGCCGUGCUGCUGCUCCAGUUUCAACUGUUCUGCCUGCGGCUAUGGAACCCUGACCUGUUCACCGGACGUGAUGCCUGUACCAGACCUGCUGUUUUCAACUCUCUAGAGACAGCAGGAGCGGUAGAGAUACUCUGAAUGAUCGGCUAUGAAAAGCCAACUGACAUUUACUCCUGAGGUGCUGAUCUGUUGCACCCUCGACAACCACUGUGAUUAUUAUUAUUUGACCCUGCUGGUCAUCUAUGAACAUUUGAACAUCUUGGCCAUGUUCUGUUAUAAUCUCCACCCGGCACAGCCAGAAGAGGACUGGCCACCCCUCAUAGCCUGGUUCCUCUCUAGGUUUCUUCCUAGGUUCUGGCCUUUCUACUGAGUGUUUCCUAGCCACCGUGAUUCUUUCUGUACAGCACUUUGAGAUAUCAGCUGAUGUAAGAAGGGCUUUAUCAAUACAUUUGAUUUGAUCUGAUACUGUCUGGUCAUAAAGAGUAUGACAUUAUUGAUGCCCGUAGCAUGGACUGCAAGGGAAGCCAAUGAGCAUUGGGCCUCGAUAGAUAGAAAAGUAAAUAAUAAUAGCCAAUCAGCGUUGAGCUCAACUGUGAAUGGUCGUGGCACACACCACAUUUUUUUCAAGGGAAUCCAGUUUGGAUUUGGCUUCUCUUCUAUCACAUCGCAUCAAGAGAAAUAUGUCAAUGACAUAAACAACAUGAAUUGUUGCAUCUCAUUGUGUUGUUGUCCUCCGGUGGCUAGCUUCAUUUACAUUUUACAUUUUUUUGUCAUUUAGCAGACGCUCUUAUCCAGAGCGACUUACAGUAGUGAAUGCAUACAUACAUUUCAUGCAUUUUCUUUUUUAAUUGAAUUUGUUUUAUUUUACAUUUUUCUCCGUACUGGCCCCCCGUGGGAAUUGAACCCACAACCCUGGUGUUGCAAACACCAUGCUCUACCAAAUGAGCCACAGGGAAGGCCACCUAGCUAGUUAAAAUUGUCCCUUUA